CAUUCCUAACACAUUUCUAUUGCUUUUAUGCAUAUAUUCAUUUAUUAACUUCCUCUUUAGGUAUAUCGAUGAAUCUGUUGGGAAAAGUUAGAAGCUAGGAUAUUUGAAUAAUUGUUAGCUGAAGUGAAAAGAUGACAAUUACCUAGACAAAAGUCGAUAUUUAUUUGAUUAGAGGAUAGUGUAGAUGAAGAUCAAGAUUAUCCACACUAGAGUAUUGCGCAAAGAAAUUGAAUAAACACGUCUUAAAUCUAUGCUGAAAUGCCAUUUCUACCAAUUAUAUGAUUCACUUUUAAAUUUUCUUGUGUUAAAUAAUUGAUAAUAAAAAUAUUAAUGUGAAUAAAUUGUGAUGAUAGUUAGAAAUAAAUA